UACGGAGGAUGCGAGCGUUAUCCGGAUUUAUUGGGUUUAAAGGGUGCGUAGGCGGAUUAAUAAGUCAGUGGUGAAAUCCUGCAGCUUAACUGUGGAACUGCCAUUGAUACUGUUAGUCUUGAGUAUGGUCAAGGUAGGCGGAAUGUGUAAUGUAGCGGUGAAAUGCUUAGAUAUUACACAGAACACCGAUUGCGAAGGCAGCUUACUGGGCCAUUACUGACGCUGAUGCACGAAAGCGUGGGGAUCGAAUAGGAUUA
rnacentral:rRNA from 1 species